AUGCAGGGGACGUGGAACGCGUGGCCGCACUUGGGCAGCAGGCGCACGAGCUCGCCGUCGUUGAACUCGCCGAGGCACACGGAGCAGUCGGCGGCGCCGAGGAGCCCAGACCCCGCGCGGUAG
rnacentral:rRNA from 1 species